UGGCACAGAAGACCAGGGACCAGCGAGACAGCCGGACGUGUCCCCCUGCAGCUGCCGCCGCACAGGUCCGUGGAACGCCGCCGCCGGUCGCGGACUGACCCCCCCCCCCUCCCCCUCCCCCUUUGAGGCCCCGCCGAGAGCCACCGCAACCAUGAGUGCCUCGACGACCGAGGUGAACGUGACCACCACGACCAUCACGCGAGCCACGUCCAAGGCCGAGCUGGUGGACGAGAACCCGGACCUGGCCGCGGAAUGCGUGCAGCACAUCUGCGCCGACGGCAGCAAGCCCGUCGACCCGCAACCGCUGCCGCAGCCGCUGCUCGCAAAUUACGAGCCCAUGCUCAGCAAGUUGACGCCGGAGACGUGCCGCCAGCAGCAGCUGCUGCCGGGCCCGCCGACCGAGCGCGUGUUCGACCGCGACGAGUCCGGCUCGGUGUCGGUGGACGUGCGCAAGACGCUGGACGAGGAGAACGUCGACAACGACAAGCUCUACCAGCACAAGCUCGAGGGCAGCGAGGUGCGCAAGGUGCAGGAGAACCAGGCGCUCAAGGAGGCCUUCCAGGAGGCCAACACCUUCGACAACGUGCUCAUGCAGAAGACCCUGGCCAAGGGACAGGUCACCAAGAAGCGCACGCUGGUCGAGACCGCGUCCGCCAAGCGCGUCACCACGCGGCGCGAGAACGAGGCGGCCAAGCUGGACAACGUCGGCUGCACGCUCAAGCGCAACAUCGAGGAAGUGGGCAACGCCGAGGAGAACGUCGAGAAGUCCGAGAAGCAGCAGGAGAACAUCGAGAAGGUCACCUGCACCACCCCAAAGGCGCCCUCUGGCCAGUGAGGCGGUGAACAGAACACCACCUCCGUCGUCGUCUCCACCGGCCCAGUAAAGCGGCUGAUUCACCUUCACUACUGGACCCAAAUCGGCACGAGGCCUCGGUACGGCAAAGACACCCCCCGAGAGAGAUCCAUCGUCGAGCUGUGGCGUCGCCCACCAUCGUGGGGCAGGGCGCAGCCCGCAUCGUGGCGCGAGAGACGCGAUUUGGGGCCGCCUUGCCAGCCGGUGGUGUCGACGUCCGUCCCAAAUUGGUCGCUGCAGGGGGCUAGUGGUCAGCGUCGGAAUCUGAAUAAAAAGGCGUCCCUGGUCUCGAAAAAA